ACUACCCCUAGAGGCAUGGUAGGUGUGACUGCUGUGUCACAUGUACGUCAGUAGGUGGCAGAGAGGAGAGAGGUUGUGUUUUGCCCAGCAUUCUGAUUUGUGAACAUCUGAAUGAUCAGUAGCCUAACAGU